rnacentral:rRNA from 1 species
CCUGACUGCUAUCGGAUUGAUACUAAGCCAUGCGAGUCAUUGUAGCAAUACAAGGCAGACGGCUCAGUAACGCGUAGUCAACCUAACCUAUGGACGGGAAUAACCUCGGGAAACUGAGAAUAAGGCCCGAUAGAACACUAUAUCUGGAAUGGUUUGUGUUCCAAAUGAUUUAUCGCCGUAGGAUGGGACUGCGGCCUAUCAGUUUGUUGGUGAGGUAAUGGCCCACCAAGACUAUUACAGGUACGGGCUCUGAGAGGAGUAGCCCGGAGAUGGGUACUGAGACACGGACCCAGGCCCUAUGGGGCGCAGCAGGCGAGAAACCUUUGCAAUGUGCGCAAGCACGACAAGGUUAAUCCGAGUGUUUCCUGUUAAAGGAAUCUUUUGUUAGUUCUAAAACCACUGAUGAAUAAGGGGUGGGCAAGUUCUGGUGUCAGCCGCCGCGGUAAAACCAGCACCUCAAGUGGUCAGGAUGAUUAUUGGGCCUAAAGCAUCCGUAGCCGGCGCUGUAAGUUUUCGGUUAAAUCUGUACGCUCAACGUACAGGCUGCCGGGAAUACUGCAGCGCUAGGGAGUGGGAGAGGUAGACGGUACUUGGUAGGAAGGGGUAAAAUCCUUUGAUCUAUUGAUGACCACCUGUGGCGAAGGCGGUCUACCAGAACACGUCCGACGGUGAGGGAUGAAAGCUGGGGGAGCAAACCGGAUUAGAUACCCGGGUAGUCCCAGCUGUAAACUAUGCAAACUCAGUGAUGCAUUGGCUUGUGGCCAAUGCAGUGCUGCAGGGAAGCCGUUAAGUUUGCCGCCUGGGAAGUACGCACGCAAGUAUGAAACUUAA